rnacentral:rRNA from 1 species
GACGAACGCUGGCGGCGUGCCUACUACAUGCAAGUAGAACGCAGUUGUGAUAGGGUGAGUAACGCGUAGGUAACUGCCUCAUUGCGGGGGAUAACUAUUGGCAACGAUAGCUAAUACAGCUUACCGUCAGAUGGACCUGCGUUGUAUUAGCUAGUUGGUGAGGUAAAGGCGCGCCAAGGCGAUGAUACAUAGCCGACCUGCUGGGGUGAUCGGACACAGUGGGACAGAGACACGGCCCAGACUCCGACGGGAGGAAGCAGUAGGGGAUCUUCGGCAAUGGACGGAAGUCAGACCGAGCAACGCCGCGUGAGUGAAGAAGGUUUUCUGAUCGUAAAGCUCUAUUGUUAGAGAAGCGGUAACUAACCAGAAAGGGACGGCUAACUUCGUACCAGCAGCCGCAGUAAAUC